rnacentral:pre_miRNA from 1 species
AUUCUACUCCCUCCAUUGCACAAUACUACAUGCCUUCUAUUUGUCAAAAUAUAUAUGUAUCUAGACAUGUCUUAGUAUAUAGGUACAUCCAUUUUUGGACAACUGGAAGUCAAGUAUUUUGGAACGGAGGGAGUACACA